AAAAAUAAAAAAUAAUUAAAAUUUAUGUCUAUUUUAGUCAUUAUAUAAUAAAACUGUACUUUCGUAAUAUAAUUUACCAAACGCAUAUACAUUACUUUUUAAACUCACAACAAUUGCAAUAGUGUAGUUCACCAAACACCAAGCUACUUUUUUAAUCAGUAUCUUAUUUUAUUUGCAUAAUACAAGCAGCCUAUUUUAUUAACCUCCGCAAUCCGAAACUGGCCCUUAAAUUCUAUUAGGAGUCUGAAUAAAUAUAUUUACAACAUAGCCUUAAGUUAAAGUCUAGCGAUCAUACCUUGUGGGGUAGUAAUUGGUACAACCUAUUUAAUGGCCAUAAAUAUUUUAUUUAAUUAUGUAAGUUCUUUUUAAAAAAUUUCCUAGUGUUUGGUUUAUUUUGAGUAGAGAUUUUAAGAAUUAAAUAAGUUAUUAUGUCGCUACUAGCAAUAACUCAAAUUUUGAGCUUUUGGAAGUAGACAUUAGAGUGCUUUUUUAAAAGUUAAAUCACCUAAAAUACUCUAUUAUUUAUUUCACAAUAUUAUGUCGUUCCUUAUAUAUAUAGCUCUCAUCAACAACCAAACAACUAUAAUUUUUUGAGUAAAAACUCUAUUUAAAUAAGCUUUAUUUAAAAUGAUGUACCAAAUGGAGCCUUGGUAAUUCUAUUUUUAAUUCAUCAAAAGACUAUAUUAAUUGUCUUUCCAUAUUCAUUCACUUACUAUAAAUUUUAUUGACUCUAAUUGUAUUUGUGAUUCUCUUUGUGCUUAUUUAAUAUUUUCUAUAUCAAGCUUUAAAGUUUCUACUUAGAAGGCGUAUGUACUCUAAUAUCUUCCUUGUGAAAUUGACACAUACAAGUGAAAAAAUAAUUUGAGUCUUGUAAUUUUAUGUGCAAUACUAUAAAUUGCAAUAGGCAUAAAUCUAAGCGUUGUUUAUCUUUUUCCCCUUUUUUUAACAACUAUUCACUAAAACCAAAUUCUAAAGAUAAUGGGUGCGUUUGGGAUCGAGGUGCUGUAGCUUUUAAGCUACAGCUGCUGUGAAAAAAAAGCUGUAAUUAUGAAACAAAAGUUAAUAAUAUAUAGUAAAUAUAAAUUUUAAAUAAUAAUUUUGAUAAAAUUAUUAAAGAUAUAAUAAAUUUUGUAUUAUAUAAGUGAAAAAUCAUAUCAAUAUAGCUUAAAAGCUACAGCAGUUAGUGUUUACCAAACACUUUAGUGCUAUAGCUUUUAAGCUACAGCUGCCCAACCUCAAUCCCAAACGCACCCAAUAUAUAAGUCCGCAGAUCAUUUUUCUCCUUUUUAUUAUCAAUUUUAAUUUUCAAUUGUUCGACUUGAUAUAUUAUAAAAUCGAUAUUUGUUUUAUGACAGCUGCUACCUUGGAUAAACUUUAAGAUAGAGCAGCGCUCAAAAUUAUUGGAUUUAUGUGCUUGACUUUAAAAUAAUUGUGACUACGUGUAUCUAACGCUUCUAAGCACUGCUCUACCUUGGAUCAACUCCAAGGUAGCUGAACACUUAUUUUAUUCUUAAGAUUGAAAUCUCUUUAUUUUAUUUUAUUUUUAAUCUUAAUUUCCUUGUACAAACAUGAAAACGUUCAACACAGUGAAAAAAUAACGAGAUGUGUAUAUCCAUUGACGAACACUCUUCUCCAUAAUUGUAACCACGUAUAUCUAACAGUUCUAAGCACUGUUCUAUCUUGAAUCAGUUCCAAGGUAGCCGAACCCUUGUUUUAUUGUUGAGAUUGAAAUCUCUUUAUUUUAUUUUCUUUUAGCCUUAAUUUUCCUGUACAAAAAUGAAAACGUUCAACACAUUGAAAAAAAUCACGCGAUGUGUUUAUCCAUUGACGAACGCUCUUCCCCGUAAUUUCUUGUUGCCUAGAUGAUUUGUAUUUUAGUGCCCUUUAUCACAUGGGGUUAUCUUUUUUCACUGCUUGUCUUCUUAACGGGGAGUAAUCGUACGAGCACUCAUUAAAACGACACCGCGUAAUGCCAAAACGGUACAGUAAGUCCAUAAUAAAUAUCACCUCCGCACCCCAUGUGGUUGAGUGGCCAACGUGGACCAAAUCAACGUCAAAUUCAAAAUCACACGCUAAAAAAAAUUUGUUUUUAUAUCAUGAUGAUGAUGGCAUCUCCACGAUGAAAGGAAUAAAUAAAUGAGAACACGACACCACCAAUGGCCAAUCAGGAUAAAGCAAUUCUUCUUCUUCUUUCUUCUCCAGUCUUGACUACAGACAAUCGAGGGCACUCAUCGUGGGGUACCAUGCGCCACGUGGUGCCCCAUGAUUCCCUCCAAUGCGCGGGCCCCGUCUUUUUGGUAGCGUUCAAUGCUUGAGACUUUUUCUGCAAUCUGACUGUUGACGCGUCAGGAGUAGGUACGCCUCGGCUUUUGUUUGGUACAGAGAUUGUUGAAUUCCAUGAAGGGAUAGGGAUAGGGAUAGGGAUAAAGAUACGGAUAUCCGACGUAGCCUGGUAUUGCACGCCCAAUAAUAUGCUCUCAUCAAGGCGGAAGCGUUGCUCCGGAAUUUAAAUUGCUCGUAGCUCAUUGGUAGAUCCAUGGACUCAAGAUUUGUGCAUUUAUUUAAGAGCACGUGUCCAACUCCCAACAAAUUCAAGUCUCCUUCCAAUGAAAUUGUAUAAAAAUAAAAAUUGUCUUUUUAUAAUUCGGAUAGAUAUUCCUUCAGUAUCACGUGAGUUUAAAAAUUCGGAUUGUAUUUAAUAAAAUUAUUAAAUAUAAUUAUAAUAGAUUUUUCAUAUUUAUUCGUGGAAUUUUGAUUAUAAUAUAUGAAUGUAUCAAAGAAAAAUUCUCCUAUUUAUUGAAACUCUUGUUAUGCAUAUUUGUUACUAAUAUAGAACGACAAAUUCGUUAUAAAAGUAAUAAAUUAUUUUGUUCAAACUGACAAUAGUGGUUGGAUGAUAACAUCGUAUAAUUAAGCUGAUUUUUCAAUUGUUAACCAUUUACAAAUAUUGUUUGAAUUAAAAUAUAUCGAGAUUUUAGAUAUAUAUACUAUAUAGUAGUAUAACCAUAAGUUUUUUGAAAUUCACUAUUAUUGAUAUUUGAUGAAAUAUCUAUCAUAAGCAAUAGAUAUUUGAUAUCCAUGAGCAAUAGAUAUUUGAUAUUUGAUGAAAUAUCUAUCAUGAGCAAUAGAUAGUUGAUAUCCAAAAGCAAUAGUUUGAAAUUCACUGUUAUUGAUAUUUGAUGAAAAAUCUAUCAUUAUUCAAAAGGAAUGAUCCGUAUAGGAUUAGAACUCAUGUCCUUAAACAUAUCCCAAGGGUAUGGAUGUAACUUGCAUCAGUGGCGGAGCCACCAAGGACUUGGCUAAAGAAUUCUAGAAGAUAAGUUCUAUUAUUCAGUUGAAAUUAGAAACUUUGCUUUUGUAGGAUGAUGGGCUUGAAGUAUUUUAUAUGGUUUUAGAUGCCCGGCUUCAAGACGUUAAUAAACCAUGACGUGGACAACUACGGACGUAUCAAAUAUUGACAUGAAAAUGUUACAGUAAAAAUCUUUUAAUAUUUUUAUACGUUUUAUUCCUUAUUUGCAUUUUAUAUUGUUAAAAAAAUGUUACUCUCGUAAAUCCAAUAUUUUUCUUUUUUGAUAUGCCACUAGCUCACGUGAUUUAUUUUCAUAUGUUUUAUAUUUUUCAUUCAACAUUUUAAUUUGUUUAAAAAUAUUGUACCCAAAGAAUUUCUAACUCUAACAUCGCUCUUUUAUUAAUCGUAUUGAAACAAAGAGUUUGGCUUUUAAUUUUGUUCAAUAAUUUAUGGGGGCUAAGUUUAAUACGAGAGGUUUAAUCUCUCUCCCAUCAACAUAAAUAAGAUUUGUUCAAUAUGGUUGUGUUUGGUAUGCAGAAUUAGUUUGAUCUAAAUACUAUGAUCAGAUUGGAUUAGAUUCGAUUAGAUUGAACAACGUUAAAUUAUAUUUAAAUAAAACACUAUUUAUGAAUAUUUAAGAGUAAUAAUUAAAAUUAAUUUAAAGGUAAUUAAUAAGAACAUUAAAUAUAUGGUAUAUUAGUUAUUAGGUAAUCAUAGUUAUAAUAAACAAGGAUACAUUAAUAAAACUAUUUAAUUAAUGUUUGAUAUGAUAUUUUAGAUAUAUUUAAUAUUGUCAAA
rnacentral:lncRNA from 1 species